GGAAAUGUUCUAAGCAUAUGUAAUUCAGUACCUCCUGAUACUAUUAGGAAUGUAAGGCGUGUGUGUUACCUCAGGGAUUGAGUCUGUUUGGAAAGUUGGAAACAUUGAGUGUGA